UUUUAAGGAUUUUCCCGUGGGGGGGGGGGCAUUUUUUGAAAAGGGACCUUUCUGUGAGAUAAUAUUUUAGAGGGGGAUAGCAAUGGCUGAAAGCCACGUGUGUGGCAAAUAUACCACGCAUGAAUGGGGGGGGGGUCUGGGGGUGUACUCCCCCAGAACAUUUUUGAAAUUUGACUCCCGGAAAUGUCAUUUCCUGCAUUCUGAGCAUCCAAAUUUGCUCUAAAAUCUAUGCUAACUAUAGUUGUAUUUGAAAUAAAAGAUGGAAAAAUGCACAAAAUUAAAAGUAAAAAAGAAUAUUAACUGUAAUUUAUCAUUACUUAUUAGAGGGAUAAUCCCAAGAAAAUUUUUGAAAUUUGAAACCGUGAAAUGCUAUUUCCUGCAUUCUGAGCAUCCAAAAAAUAAAAAAAAUAUUAACAAUAAUUUAUCAUUACUUAGUGGUAAAAAAAGUAACACUUUAAAUCGAUUUUGUUAAACAAGAACAAAGGAUAAAGCCUAAAACUUACUUUCCGUUUAUCUAUUUGUUAAUCUUCGCUGGAUUGUUUAUAUAAUUUUAGGAAAAAGGGACUUUUCCUGGGGGGGGGGCAAAAUGUGAUUUCGUGGAGGGGGCACAAGGGGGGACUGGGGGGCAAAUGCCCCCCAGCUUGUAUGUUAAAGAAAGGCCCUGUUUUCGACUAGC